rnacentral:rRNA from 1 species
GACGAACCGUGCGAACGUUGUUCGGAAUCACUGGGCAUAAAGGGCGCGUAGGCGGUGCGUCAAGUCUUGGGUGAAAUCUUUCGGCUCAACCGGAAAAGUGCCUGAGAUACUGACGCGCUGGAGGGAGAUAGGGGUCUUGGGAACUACCAGUGGAGCGGUGAAAUGCGUUGAGAUUGGUAGGAACGCCGGUGGCGAAAGCGCAAGACUGGGUCUCUUCUGACGCUGAGGCGCGAAAGCCAGGGGAGCAAACGGGAUUAGAUACCCCGGUAGUCCUGGCCUUAAACGAUGGGUACUAGGCAGCGGACUUGACAUGGGUUCACUGCCGAAGCUAACGUGGUAAGUACCCCGCCUGGGGAGUAUGGUCGCAAGGCUGAA